GACGAACGCUGGCGGCGUGCUUAACACAUGCAAGUCGAACGGAAAGGCCCUGAUCUUGCUCGGUGCUCGAGUGGCGAACGCGUGUGUAACACGCGAGUACCAUGCCCCUGACUUUGGGAUAUCUUCAGGAAACUCGGGCUAUUAUCGGAUAGGCGCUGCUGCUGCACGGUGGGGGCUGGAAAGUUUCGGCGGUUGGGGAUGGACUCGCGGCUUAUCAGCUUGUUGGUGGGGUAGUGGCUUACCAAGGCUUUGACGGGUAGCCGGCCUGAGAGGGUGACCGGCCACAUUGGGACUGAGAUACGGCCCAGACUCCUACGGGAGGCAGCAGUGGGGAAUAUUGCACAAUGGGCGGAAGCCUGAUGCAGCAACGCCGCGUGCGGGAUGACGGCCUUCGGGUUGUAAACCGCUUUCGCCAGUGACGAAGCGAGAGUGACGGUAAUGGGUAAAGAAGCACCGGCUAACUACGUG
rnacentral:rRNA from 1 species